rnacentral:rRNA from 1 species
AGAGUUUGAUCCUGGCUCAGGACGAACGCUGGCGGCGUGCCUAACACAUGCAAGUCGAACGAAGCAUCUUACUUGAUUCUUUGGAUGAAAGUUUGGUGACUGAGUGGCGGACGGGUGAGUAACGCGUGGGUAACCUGCCCUGUACAGGGGGAUAACAGCUGGAAACGGCUGCUAAUACCGCAUAAGCGCACGAGGAGACAUCUCCUUGUGUGAAAAACUCCGGUGGUACAGGAUGGGCCCGCGUCUGAUUAGCUGGUUGGCAGGGUAACGGCCUACCAAGGCAACGAUCAGUAGCCGGUCUGAGAGGAUGAACGGCCACAUUGGAACUGAGACACGGUCCAAACUCCUACGGGAGGCAGCAGUGGGGAAUAUUGCACAAUGGGGGAAACCCUGAUGCAGCAACGCCGCGUGAGUGAAGAAGUAUUUCGGUAUGUAAAGCUCUAUCAGCAGGGAAGAUAAUGACGGUACCUGACUAAGAAGCUCCGGCUAAAUACGUGCCAGCAGCCGCGGUAAUACGUAUGGAGCAAGCGUUAUCCGGAUUUACUGGGUGUAAAGGGUGCGUAGGUGGCAGUGCAAGUCAGAUGUGAAAGGCCGGGGCUCAACCCCGGAGCUGCAUUUGAAACUGCUCGGCUAGAGUACAGGAGAGGCAGGCGGAAUUCCUAGUGUAGCGGUGAAAUGCGUAGAUAUUAGGAGGAACACCAGUGGCGAAGGCGGCCUGCUGGACUGUUACUGACACUGAGGCACGAAAGCGUGGGGAGCAAACAGGAUUAGAUACCCUGGUAGUCC